rnacentral:rRNA from 1 species
AUGACUGCAGAUUUCCAGAAACUAGCAAAAUUUGCUUGUGGUUCGGAUGCAGCAAAAGGCAUUGUUGAUAAGCACAUGCGUGCGACGCGGACAAAAAUUGUGCAGCUGAACAAUUCUAGAAGGAAAAAAAGGGCUGCAAGAGAGGCAGGUCCGUCCGCUGGUGAGAACAACCAGGAUCCUCCCGUGCCGCCUACAUCUACAGGGCCUACUCCAGCAACUACCCCUACUGGACGUGCUCCACCGCCUACUCCCAUGGGCCGUGGUGGACCACCUCCUCCCAUGGGCAGUGGUGGUCGUGGUCCAACAUGUCCUCCCAUGGGUCGUGCUACUCAUGCUCCAGCACCUCCUCCCAUGGGUCGUGCUGAACCGCCUCCUCCGAUGGAUCAUGGUGGGCCACCUGUGAGUAAUGCUUCAGCACCUCUUCCUAUGGGUAACACAACACAAGGCUAUCCUAACUGCACUGAGCAGAUGUCGCCUACGAGCAACGACAAUGAGGAUGCAACUCCUAGGGAUAUGCCAAAUUCAACUACAAAAGGGAGGGAAAGGAGUAGACGCUAUCAUUCAGCUCUUGAACUGCACCCGAAAAGGAAAAAUAGGUGCAGCUACUACAACUCAGAUAAGCACAAUGCCGCUAGCUGCUCUACGAAGUUGGCGUGA